CACGUAGGGGGCAAGCGUUGUCCGGAUUUAUUGGGCGUAAAGAGCUCGUAGGUGGUUCGGUAAGUCGGGUGUGAAACCUCCAGGCUCAACCUGGAGACGCCACCCGAUACUGCGGUGACUGGAGUCUGGUAGGGGAACACGGAAUUCCUGGUGUAGCGGUGAAAUGCGCAGAUAUCAGGAGGAACACCGAUGGCGAAGGCAGUGUUCUGGGCCAGUACUGACGCUGAGGAGCGAAAGCGUGGGGAGCAAACAGG
rnacentral:rRNA from 1 species